rnacentral:rRNA from 1 species
AUAACUACUGGAAACGGUAGCUAAUACCGCAUAACGUCGCAAGACCAAAGAGGGGGACCUUCGGGCCUCUUGCCAUCGGAUGUGCCCAGAUGGGAUUAGCUAGUAGGUGGGGUAAAGGCUCACCUAGGCGACGAUCCCUAGCUGGUCUGAGAGGAUGACCAGCCACACUGGAACUGAGACACGGUCCAGACUCCUACGGGAGGCAGCAUG